AGAAUUUUAAGUUAAGCUAAACUAUAAGCCUUCAAAGCUUGAAAUAAGAAUAAUCUUAGAUUUUA
rnacentral:tRNA from 1 species